AUUGUUCAGAAGAUUCAGAAAAGUUUGGAAUUGGAUCGUCUUCAUGGCUUGGUAGCAGCAGCCAAGGUGUUUCCAAUGUCAAUAACAAACCGAUAUUUAACAUCAUUUUUAGCCAAACGCUCCAUUGCUUCGUUCACAUACUCAAUUGGGACAAGUUCAAUAUCAGCUUUUAUGUUGUGUUUGGCUGCAAAAUCAAUCAUCUCUUGAGUCUCCUUCAUUCCUCCAAUGCCACUCCCAGCAACAACCUUCCUUCCGGCAAUCAAAGGAAAGACAGGUAGCUCGAGAGGCUUUUCUGGAACACCAACCAAUACAAGCUUCCCAUCAGUCUUCAACAAUCCAAGUAAUGGCAAGAUGGGAUGAACUGCAGCCACUGUAUCUAGGAUUCCAUCCAAUGUGCCCAUUGCUUCCUGCAUUUGGGCCUGGUCACGACUGACCAAAAAGGAGUCAGCACCAAGUUGGGUGAUUGCAUCGUGUUUCUUGUCAGGGGAUGUACUAAUCACGGUGACUUUAGCUCCUAAAGCCUUGGCAAAUCUAACAGCAACGUGACCAAGACCACCCAGGCCAACCACACCAACAUGCUUACCAGGUUCUGCUAAUCCAAAAUAUUUCAAGGGACUAUAAACUGUGAUCCCAGCACAAAGGAGAGGAGC
rnacentral:misc_RNA from 1 species